AAUGAACGUUGGCGGCAUGGAUUAGGCAUGCAAGUCGAGCGAGAAGAGUUUUGAAGCUUGCUUUAGAACUCGGACAGCGGCGAAAGGGAGAGUAACGCGUAGUUAUGUGCCCUAGGGUCCGGAAUAGCCACGGGAAACUGUGGGUAAUGCCGGAUAACAUCCCCGGAUCAAAGGUGUGAUUCCGCCCUAGGAGCAGACUGCGCCCUACUAGCUAGUUGGUGGGGUAAUGGCCCACCAAGGCAAUGAUGGGUAGCGGGUGUGAGAGCAUGACCCGUCUCACUGGGACUGAGACACUGCCCAGACACCUACGGGUGGCUGCAGUCGAGAAUCUUCGGCAAUGGGCGAAAGCCUGACCGAGCGAUGCCGCGUGCGGGAUGAAGGCCCUCGGGUUGUAAACCGCUGUCGUAGGGGAGGAAGGUUCCGUGAAGAGCGGAAUUUGACCUAUCCUAGGAGGAAGUACGGGCUAAGUUCGUGCCAGCAGCCGCAGUAA
rnacentral:rRNA from 1 species